AGCCACGGUUUCCUAAGCCCAGCUAUCUCUGUACGUGGCACUAUCGCAUUGGUUAAACCACCUCGGUGCAAAAAAACAAAAAAACUAUACACACAAAUAGAAGGAUUGUGCGCCCCACAAAUCUCAUCUGUUGAGAACUGUAUUCCUUUCUUCAACUUCUAAAGAAUUUUUCUGCGGAACUAUACAUACAGCUUUCUGUAUAUAUAGAUUCGUGAUUUCAAAAACCCUAAAAAUGGUGCAGUUGUAGAGAGAGAAAAUUGAGCUAUAGCUUGGCGAUGUUGGAGAGGUGGUGCGGAACUCGAGGUAAAGAUUCCCGUCUUUGUAACUUUAACCCGGACUCGAUUCUCAACAUUGACUGUGCGAGAAAUGCCUACGUCACCUGAAGAAAACCCUAACCCUAAGGUGAAAUCGGCGGCGGCGGCGGCGAAGAAGAAACGGCGGUCGAGCUUGUCGGAUAUAUGGAAUAACAAGGAUGCUCAGGCGUUGAAGCAAUUGGUGCUUCAAAUGCGAGCUCAAUCGGUUUCUAAUUCCACUACUCCACCGUCUGAGCCCGAAUCUGAUAUCCAAUCCCUAACCCAAGAUGACGGGGAGCCGACCCGUUUUAGUUCUGGACCAGAUUAUACCGCCGUACUUUCUGAUAAGUUGCUGUUGAAUGUGCUUUCGAAGCUUCCGGAACACCAACAUAUUUCUUAUUCAUUGGUUUGUAAGCGUUGGUGUAAGCUUAGUGGGAAGUUGGUUAGGUCUAUUAAGCUGUUAGAUUGGGAAUUUUUGGAAUCUGGAAGGCUUAGUUAUAGAUUUCCGGGUUUAAUUGACAUUGACCUAGUUCGAGCAUGUGUGAAAUCCCGGAGGAAUUCGGGAAUUGUGAUGAGUCAUAGGCUCGUUUCGGUGCAUUUGGAUUCAAACUCUAUUCAUGGAGGGUUUGUUGGGAAAGAGGGGUUUUUGGGACAAGAGGUGGUUGAUGGAGGGGUUAAGGUUUUAGUUGAGGGUUGUGCUAAUUUAAGAAGAAUAGUAUUGAUCAAUGCGAGUGUAGAGGGGCUCGGUUAUUUGGGUGAAAAGUGUGAAACUUUGCAGGAGUUGGAAUUGCAUUUCUCUGAUGACUUUGCAUUGAAGGGAUUAUUUGGCAGUAGGAAUUUGCAGAUACUGAAAUUGGUUGGUUGUAUUGAUGGAUUAUAUAAUUCCAUGGUUUCAGAUAUAGGGUUGACAAUUUUAGCUCAAGGGUGUCCGCGUUUACUGAAGCUUGAGCUGGUAGGAUGUGAGGGAAGUUAUGAUGGGAUCAAAGCAAUUGGGCAGUGCUGUCAGAUGCUUGAGGAAUUGAUACUUUGUGAUCAUAGGAUGGAUGGUGGGUGGUUGUCUGCUUUGUCAUUUUGCAGCAACUUGAAAACUUUGAAGCUUCAGCAUUGUAAGGUUCUAGAUUCAUGUCCUGGUCCUGAUGAGCACUUGGGUUCUUGUUCUACUCUCGAUGAGCUACAUUUACAUCAGUGUCAAUUACGGGAUAAGCAAGGUGUGAGAGCAUUGUUUCUGGUUUGUGGGACUGUCCGAGAGCUUGUCUUUGGGGAUUGUUGGGGAUUAGACAACACUAUAUUUGCUGCUGCAAGUGUUUGUCGGAGCUUGAGAAAUCUCUCUUUGGAAGGAUGCUCAUUGCUCACGACAGAAGGAUUAGAUUCGGUAGUUCAGUCAUGGAAAGAGCUUGAAAGGCUUAAGGUGGUCUCAUGUAACAAUAUAAAGGAUAGUGAAAUAACGCCAGAACUAGCAACUUUGUUUUCUGUUCUCAAAGAGCUAAAGUGGAGGCCAGAUUCUCGAUCUUUUCUAUCAUCAGGUCUUGAAGGGACUGGUAUUGGGCAGAAAGGUGGUAGAUCAUUGCGGAGGAAGUAGAGUGUGAACUGGUAAAGAUGUCAAUGUAAAUGCAUUUCACCAUGAAGGUGAAAGUCUGUCUUCACUCGUUUCAGACAGUCCAGAAAAUAUUGGGCAGAGUGUUGUUGCCUCUACUGUUGGCACUGAUAUUGCAUCUGCAAUUGAAAGUACUCAAACAUAAAAAGAAGCUUCUGGUACUUCUGAGCCAAUUGUUGUGGAAGUGAGCUCCGGUGCGAAAGAAAGCAAUAAUGCUGAACCCGGUAAUAAUUUAAGACCUAUACCAGUUCCUCGGAAAGAUGCAGUCUCAAAGGAUUCAGACUUGGAAAAACCUUUGAUUUCCAAGAAUUUAAUUCAGCAGUGGAACUGGAGCCCUUUGGUCAUCGCCAUGGAGAGGUUAAAGUCAGAACUUCAAGUGCGUGGGUUGAAAUGUGGAGGCACUCUACGAGAACGUGCAGCCAGGCUUUUCUUGCUCUCAAGUCUCAACCACACCUUUGGAGAUGCUUCCAAAGAAGUUGCUUUCUAAGAAGUAAUUCUGUGCUCGUUUGUUUUGCUAUUGUAGCUAGUUGUAAUUGUAGCCUCAUGUUUCAAGUGUCAGCUUAUUCUCUAUUUGACUUACGAUGUAGAUAUGCGUAUGUAUGUUUCAAUAAAUUCGACUACUUACAGGGACAAACAGCAGCAAUUCACUUUUUAGAGUAAUAAACUGAUGUUUAUUUGGUUCUGA